rnacentral:rRNA from 1 species
UACGGAAGGCAGCAGUGGGGAAUAUUGCACAAUGGGCGCAAGCCUGAUGCAGCCAUGCCGCGUGUAUGAAAAAGGCCUUCGGGUUGUAAAGUACUUUCAGUCGUGAGGAAGGUGUUAAGGUUAAUAACCUUAGCAAUUGACGUUAGCGACAGAAGAAGCACCGGCUAACUCCGUGCCAGCAGCCGCGGUAAUACGGAGGGUGCGAGCGUUAAUCGGAAUUACUGGGCUAAAGGGCACGCAGGCGGUUAAUUAAGUUGGAUGUGAAAUCCCCGGGCUUAACCUGGGAAUGGCAUUCAAGACUGGUUAGCUAGAGUCUUGUAGAGGGGGUAGAAUUCCAUGUGUAGCGGUGAAAUGCGUAGAGAUGUGGAGGAAUACCGGUGGCGAAGGCGGCCCCUGGACAAAGACUGACGCUCAUGUGCGAAAGCGUGGGGAGCAAACGAGGGAUUAGAUACC